GUGGGGAAUUUUGGACAAUGGGCGCAAGCCUGAUCCAGCAAUGCCGCGUGUGUGAAGAAGGCCUUCGGGUUGUAAAGCACUUUUGGCAGGAAAGAAAUAGUGCGUGCUAAUACCAUGCGCGAAUGACGGUACCUGCAGAAUAAGCACCGGCUAACUACGUGCCAGCAGCCGCGGUAAGACGUAGGGUGCAAGCGUUAAUCGGAAUUACUGGGCGUAAAGCGUGCGCAGGCGGUUUUGUAAGACAGGUGUGAAAUCCCCGGGCUCAACCUGGGAACUGCACUUGUGACUGCAAGGCUAGAGUGUGUCAGAGGGAGGUGGAAUUCCGCGUGUAGCAGUGAAAUGCGUAGAGAUGCGGAGGAACACCGAUGGCGAAGGCAGCCUCCUGGGAUAACACUGACGCUCAGGCACGAAAGCGUGGGGAGCAAACAGGAUUAGAUACCCCGGUAGUCC
rnacentral:rRNA from 1 species